GACUCGCUAGCUCAGGUGGUAGAGCACUUGACUUUUAAUCAAGGUGUCCGGGGUUCGAAUCCCCGGCGGGUCACCA
rnacentral:tRNA from 1 species